rnacentral:rRNA from 1 species
GAUGAACGCUGGCGGCGUGCCUAAUACAUGCAAGUCGAGCGAACAGACGAGGAUCUUUCUCCUCUGACGUUAGCGGCGGACGGGUGAGUAACACGUGUAUAACCUACCUAUAAUACUGGGAUAACUUCGGGAAACCGGAGCUAAUACCGGAUAAUAUAUUGAACCGCAUGGUUCAAUAGUGAAAUACGGUUUUUCUGUCUCUUAUAGAUGGAUCCGCGCCGCAUUAGCUAGUUGGUAAGGUAACGGCUUACCAAGGCAACGAUGCGUAGCCGACCUGAGAGGGUGAACGGCCAAACUGGAACUGAGACACGGUCAAGAAUCCUACGGGAGGCAGCAGUAGGGAAUCUUCCGCAAUGGGCGAAAGCCUGACGGAGCAACGCCGCGUGAGUGAUGAAGGUCUUCGGAUCGUAAAACUCUGUUAUUAGGGAAGAAAAAAUGUGUAAGUAACUAUGCACGUCUUGACGGUACCUAAUCAGAAAGCAACGGCUAACUACGUG